rnacentral:rRNA from 1 species
GACGAACGCUGGCGGCGUGCCUAAUACAUGCAAGUAGAACGCUGAAGCGAGGAGCUUGCUCUUCUUGGGUGAGUUGCGAACGGGUGAGUAACGCGUAGGUCACCUGCCUUGUAGCGGGGGAUAACUAUUGGAAACGAUAGCUAAUACCGCAUAACAAUGGAUGACACAUGUCAUUUAUUAGAAUGUGGCAAUUGCUCCACUACAAGAUGGAUCUGCGUUGUAUUAGCUAGUAGGUGAGGUAAUGGCUCACCUAGGCGACGAUACAUAGACGACGUGAGAGGGUGGUCGGCCGCACUGAGAGGGAGACACGCCACAUAGGGCUACGGGAGGGAGCAGUAGGGAAUCGGCGGCCAGAGGGGCAACCCUGACCGAGAAGCGCCGCGGGAGUGAGGAGGGUUGUCGGAUCGUAAAGCUCUGUUGUAAGUCAAGAACGGGCGUUAGAGUGGAAAGUUGACACUGUGACGGUAGCGGGUCAGAAAGCGACGGCUAACUACGUG